CCUACGGGUGGCUGCAGUGGGGAAUAUUGGACAAUGGGCGAAAGCCUGAUCCAGCCAUGCCGCGUGUGUGAAGAAGGCCUUCGGGUUGUAAAGCACUUUCAGUGGGGAAGAAAGCCUUGGGGCUAAUACCCUCGAGGAAGGACAUCACCCACAGAAGAAGCACCGGCUAACUCCGUGCCAGCAGCCGCGGUAAUACGGAGGGUGCGAGCGUUAAUCGGAAUUACUGGGCGUAAAGCGCGCGUAGGCGGUCUGAUAAGCCGGUUGUGAAAGCCCCGGGCUCAACCUGGGAACGGCAUCCGGAACUGUCAGGCUAGAGUGCAGGAGAGGAAGGUAGAAUUCCCGGUGGAGCGGUGAAAUGCGUAGAGAUCGGGAGGAAUACCAGUGGCGAAGGCGGCCUUCUGGACUGACACUGACGCUGAGGUGCGAAAGCGUGGGUAGCCAACAGGAUUAGAUACCCGAGUAGUC
rnacentral:rRNA from 1 species